rnacentral:rRNA from 1 species
AUUGAACGCUGGCGGCAGGCCUAACACAUGCAAGUCGGACGAGCGGCGGACGGGUGAGUAAUGUAUGGGGAUCUGCCUGAUGGAGGGGGAUAACUACUGGAAACGGUAGCUAAUACCGCAUACCAUCAGAUGAACCCAUAUGGGAUUAGCUAGUAGGUGGGGUAACGGCUCACCAAGGCGACGAUCCCUAGCUGGUCGGAGAGGAUGACCAGCCACACUGGAACUGAGACACGGCCCAGACUCCUACGGGAGGCAGCAGUGGGGAAUAUUGCACAAUGGGCGCAAGCCUGAUGCAGCCAUGCCGCGUGUAUGAAGAAGGCCUUCGGGUUGUAAAGUACUUUCAGUCGGGAGGCGUUACCCACAGAAGAAGCACCGGCUAACUCCGUGCCAGCAGCCGCGGUAAUAC